rnacentral:rRNA from 1 species
GACGUAGGGCGCGAGCGUUGUCCGGAUUUAUUGGGCGUAAAGAGCUCGUAGGCGGCUUGUCGCGUCGUCCGUGAAAACCUGCGGCUCAACUGCAGGCUUGCGGUCGAUACGGGCAGGCUGGAGUUCGGUAGGGGAGCACGGAAUUCCUGGUGGAGCGGUGAAAUGCGCAGAUAUCAGGAGGAACACCGGUGGCGAAGGCGGGUCUCUGGGCAGUAACUGACGCUGAGGAGCGAAAGCGUGGGGAGCGAACAGG